GACGAACGCUGGCGGCGUGCUUAACACAUGCAAGUCGAACGGUGAAGGGAUCAGCUUGCUGGUUCUGGAUGAGUGGCGAACGGGUGAGUAACACGUGAGUAACCUGCCCCCUUCUUCUGGAUAACCGCAUGAAAGUGUGGCUAAUACGGGAUAUUCUGGGUCUGUCGCAUGGCGGGUCUGGGAAAGAUGCGCCUUUGGGUGUUUUUGGUGGGGGAUGGGCUCGCGGCCUAUCAGCUUGUUGGUGGGGUGAUGGCCUACCAAGGCGGUGACGGGUAGCCGGCCUGAGAGGGUGGACGGUCACACUGGGACUGAGACACGGCCCAGACUCCUACGGGAGGCAGCAGUGGGGAAUAUUGCACAAUGGGCGCAAGCCUGAUGCAGCGACGCCGCGUGAGGGAUGGAGGCCUUCGGGUUGUAAACCUCUUUCGCCAGUGAAGCAGGCCUGCUCCCU
rnacentral:rRNA from 1 species